rnacentral:lncRNA from 10 species
AUUUUCAGUUGGCAACACAAGAACAUAGUAUAAGUGGCCACGGAUCCCGGAGGCGUGCGCUGAGAAGUUUUGAAUGGCCUUGUCCCUGCAUCAGGUGAUAGAUGGGUCUGCCCCCUGCAUCAGAUGAUUGGUGAUUCUGCCCCCUGCAUCAGACUUGAUUCAUCUGCACGCUCCAUGGAGGCUUGGUUUCAGAUGUACCAUCAUGCUGAUGUCUAUAGGCACAUCUCAGGAUCCUUUCAGACAGAGGAAUGGGAAGGUGAUGAUGUCCAAGCAAGGAGGAUGUGUUUUUCUCCAACUCUGAAGUCCCACUCAACAAGAGACUAUGGUUUGAAUGUGUGUGUCCUCUCCAGAAUUCAUGCUGAAACCUGAACACAAAUGUGAUAGUAUUAAGAGUAGGGCCUUUAGGAGGUCAUGAGGGUGGAUCCCUCGUGAAUAGGAUUAGUGACCUUAUGAACAGGCUGGAACUUAAAGUAAAAUAAAAAUUAAAAAACUAAAAAAGGUCUGGGAAAGCUAAGUCCUUUUACCCUUGUGCUUGUGGCCAUGUGAGGACACAGCAACAAGGUGCCAUCUUGGAAGCAGAGACGAAACCAGACACCGAACCUGCCAGUUCCUUGAUCUUGGGCUUUCCCGCCUCCAGAACUAUCAGCAAUAAAUGUAUGUUAUCUGUAAAUUGUCCAGUCUAAGGUAUUUUGCUAUAGCAGCAUAAACAGGCUGAGACAACAGGUAUUGGCCUCUCCCAGAAUCACGGAGGGCUGUUUUACAUCUGGGUCAGGUGCAGCUGAUGGGGGUCUUUAAUUGGGAGUUGAUCAUGGCUGACCUGCUCUGAUCCUCUGGAAUUUCCAGCACGUACAAAGUGUGGAAUGGGC